AGAGUUUGAUCCUGGCUCAGGAUGAACGCUGGCGGCAGGCUUAACACAUGCAAGUCGAACGCACCGCAAGGUGAGUGGCAGACGGGUGAGUAACGCGUGGGAACCUUCCCUGUGGUACGGAAUAACUUCGGUAAACCGAAGCUAAUACCGUAUAUCUCCUCCGGGAGAAAGAUUUAUCGGACUGAGAGGGUCUCGCGGCCUAUCAGCUAGUUGGAGAGGUAACGGCUCACCAAGGCAUCGACGGGUAGCUGGUCUGAGAGGAUGAUCAGCCACACUGGGACUGAGACACGGCCCAGACUCCUACGGGAGGCAGCAGUGGGGAAUCUUGCACAAUGGGCGAAAGCCUGAUGCAGCAACGCCGCGUGCGGGAAGAAGGCCCUAGGGUUGUAAACCGCUUUCAGUAGGGAAGAAAAUGACGGUACCUACAGAAGAAGGUGCGGCCAACUACGUGCCAGCCGCCGCGGUAAUUC
rnacentral:rRNA from 1 species